rnacentral:lncRNA from 1 species
GAACACAUCAGUACGUGAAUGAUGUAAUCUUAUUGAGUUAUGAUUGGCGAAUCUUAAUCCAAAUGAUAAUUGCGGUUGAAUACAACAGUGAAGUUGCAAUAAAGUCAAGAUCGGAUGUUUGAUUCCAUUUCCCCAACAAUCAUCAAAAGAAAGAAAAUGAGGGAGUUGUUCUUUACUUGCUUCUGAUUGUUUUCGUUAAUUUUGC